GAUGAACGCUGGCGGCGUGCCUAAUACAUGCAAGUCGAGCGAACGGACGAGAAGCUUGCUUCUCUGAUGUUAGCGGCGGACGGGUGAGUAACACGUGGAUACCCUACCUAUAAGACUGGGAUAACUUCGGGAAACCGGAGCUAAUACCGGAUAAUAUUUUGAACCGCAUGGUUCAAAAGUGAAAGACGGUCUUGCUGUCACUUAUAGAUGGAUCCGCGCUGCAUUAGCUAGUUGGUAAGGUAACGGCUUACCAAGGCAACGAUGCAUAGCCGACCUGAGAGGGUGAUCGGCCUCACUGGAACUGAGACACGGUCCAGACUCCUACGGGAGGCAGCAGUAGGGAAUCUUCCGCAAUGGGCGAAAGCCUGACGGAGCAACGCCGCGUGAGUGAUGAAGGUCUUCGGAUCGUAAAACUCUGUUAUUAGGGAAGAACAUAUGUGUAAGUAACUGUGCACAGCUUGACGGUACCUAAUCAGAAAGCCACGGCUAACUACGUG
rnacentral:rRNA from 1 species